rnacentral:rRNA from 1 species
CCUACGGGCGGCAGCAGUGAGGAAUAUUGGUCAAUGGACGGGAGUCUGAACCAGCCAUGCCGCGUGCAGGAAGACGGCACUGUGUGUUGUAAACUGCUUUUGUCAGGGGGUAAAGGCAGGGACGCGUAUCCGUCUGAAAGUACCGUACGAAUAAGGAUCGGCUAACUCCGUGCCAGCAGCCGCGGUAAUACGGAGGAUUCAAGCGUUAUCCGGAUUUAUUGGGUUUAAAGGGUGCGUAGGCGGGCGGUUAAGUCAGAGGUGAAAUCCCGGGGCUCAACUUCGGAAUUGCCGUUGAUACUGGUCGGCUAGAGAGUAGUAGAGGUAGGCGGAAUGUGUGGUGUAGCGGUGAAAUGCUUAGAGAUCAUACAGAACCCCGAUUGCGAAGGCAGCUUACCAGGCUCCUACUGACGUUGAGGCACGAAAGCGUGGGGAGCAAACAGGAUUAGAUACCCUAGUAGUC